GAUAAUCCUGAUAUUCUACCGGCAGGACGUCAGUAGAAUUUCCUUCGGUUUCAGCUUGUGUGUGUUGUUUGCUUUUGAGUCAGGUGAGUGGAUAAUUUUCCAUAUGCAUGAGAAAUAUUAUAAAUAUUUGAUUUGUUAAUAUGAAUUGGAUCAUGCUUCUUGAUAAUAUAUAUGCUGAUUAUUAUCCUUGAUAUGAUAAAGCAUGAUCAAUUAUUGAAUCUGAUUUCUUGAUAUGAACCAAUAUGAUUUGACUUCUGAAUUGAUAGCUCCUCAUUUGAUGGAUGUCAUGAGUUGAGCUUUGAGAUAUGAAUAUGUUUGUUUGAUUAUGAUUAUGAACCUAUGGUAUGUCAGUCAGAAUACCCAUGCUAACAGGGUAGUGUUAGUCUUUGUGCACAUCGUAUCUGAACCCUAGUUGGUCGGGGGAGUCACCAACCUGUGUGGACUGAUCAUCCCACAGUACGGAGCCUCAUGCUCAUUGCAUUUUGAUUUUCUGACAAGUUUUACCAUAUGAUAUUCUUGUUAUGGCCUAUUUUGAUAAACCUUCGUAUAAGAACUAAAGCCAUACUUGUAUAUAUAUUUCUCAUUGUUAUAUUACCUCGUGUGUGUAUAUUGAACGUUAUCUACUCACUGAGUUGUUGAACUCACCCUCUCAUUAUUUAUCCUUUUCAGGCUUAUAGCUUGAUAGCAGGUUACUUUUGUUGAACCUUUCGAACCUGCCUUUUUUGUUGUAAUUUGUACCUUCCUUUUGUGUCAAGUUAGUGCUCCAAAACUAUGAAAUUAUUAACUCUUGUAUUAAGACAAUCGAAUUAUAUUAUGAAGUGGUUUGUUGUUAAUUAUGCGUUAAACUCUGAUUGAGUUGUUUAAAGGAUUGUAUGUAAGUUUGGGUUCGCAUAGGCUUGGAACCUUG
rnacentral:lncRNA from 1 species